GACGAACGCUGGCGGCGUGCUUAACACAUGCAAGUCGAACGGAAAGGCCCUGCUUUUGUGGGGUGCUCGAGUGGCGAACGGGUGAGUAACACGUGAGUAACCUGCCCUUGACUUUGGGAUAACUUCAGGAAACUGGGGCUAAUACCGGAUAGGAGCUCCUGCUGCAUGGUGGGGGUUGGAAAGUUUCGGCGGUUGGGGAUGGACUCGCGGCUUAUCAGCUUGUUGGUGGGGUAGUGGCUUACCAAGGCUUUGACGGGUAGCCGGCCUGAGAGGGUGACCGGCCAAAUGGGGCGUGGGACACGGCCCAGACCCCUACGGGGGGGAGAGGGGGGGAAUUUUGAAAAAGGGGCGGAAGCCUGAGCAAGCAACCCCGGGGGGGGGAAGAGGGCCUUCGGGUUGAAACCCGCUUUCGCCUGUGACGAAGCGUGAGUGACGGUAAUGGGUAAAGGAGCACCGGCUAACUACGU
rnacentral:rRNA from 1 species